UCCCUGCAUCUUACCCACCCCCAGCCUACUGUCUAGGUGUGGAGGGGCAUGAGUGUUGGAGAGAGUCUUGAUGCUGUGCCAGUAUUGCUCGGCAAAAUACAAAGCACUGGUGUGACACCAGUGCUGUUCUGGCUACUAGUGAAGAGCAC